rnacentral:rRNA from 1 species
CCUACGGGAGGCUACAGUGGGGAAUAUUGGACAAUGGGGGCAACCCUGAUCCAGCCAUGCCGCGUGUGUGAAGAAGGCCCUCGGGUUGUAAAGCACUUUCAGUGAGGAAGAACGCCUGGUGGUUAAUACCCAUCAGGAAAGACAUCACUCACAGAAGAAGCACCGGCUAACUCCGUGCCAGCAGCCGCGGUAAUACGGAGGGUGCGAGCGUUAAUCGGAAUUACUGGGCGUAAAGCGCGCGUAGGUGGCUUGAUAAGCCGGUUGUGAAAGCCCCGGGCUCAACCUGGGAACGGCAUCCGGAACUGUCAAGCUAGAGUGCAGGAGAGGAAGGUAGAAUUCCCGGUGUAGCGGUGAAAUGCGUAGAGAUCGGGAGGAAUACCAGUGGCGAAGGCGGCCUUCUGGACUGACACUGACACUGAGGUGCGAAAGCGUGGGUAGCAAACAGGAUUAGAUACCCGUGUAGUC